rnacentral:rRNA from 1 species
GAUGAACGCUAGCGGCAGGCCUAACACAUGCAAGUCGAGGGGUAGAGUUAGCUUGCUAACUUGAGACCGGCGCACGGGUGCGUAACGCGUAUGCAAUCUGCCUUGUACUGAGGGAUAGCCCAGAGAAAUUUGGAUUAAUACCUCAUAGUAUUAUUGAAUGGCAUCAUUUGAUAAUUAAAGUUCCAACGUUACAAGAUGAGCAUGCGUCCCAUUAGUUAGUUGGUAAGGUAACGGCUUACCAAGACGAUGAUGGGUAGGGGUCCUGAGAGGGAGAUCCCCCACACUGGAACUGAGACACGGUCCAGACACCUACGGGUGGCAGCAGUCGAGAAUAUUUCACAAUGGGGGAAACCCUGAUGGUGCAACGCCGCGUGGAGGAUGAAGGUCUUCGGAUUGUAAACUCCUGUCAUCGGGGAGUAAGACCUGGGCGUGAAUAGCGCACAGGGUUGAUAGUACCCGAAGAGGAAGGGACGGCUAACUUCGUGCCAGCAGCCGCAGUAAAAC